CGCUAUCAUCCUACGGGAGGCAGCAGUGGGGAAUAUUGCACAAUGGGCGCAAGCCUGAUGCAGCCAUGCCGCGUGUGUGAAGAAGGCCUUCGGGUUGUAAAGCACUUUCAGCAGUGAGGAAGGCGGAGUCGUUAAUAGCGGCCUCGUUUGACGUUAGCUGCAGAAGAAGCACCGGCUAACUCCGUGCCAGCAGCCGCGGUAAUACGGAGGGUGCGAGCGUUAAUCGGAAUUACUGGGCGUAAAGCGCAUGCAGGCGGCCUGUUAAGUCAGAUGUGAAAGCCCGGGGCUUAACCUCGGAAUUGCAUUUGAAACUGGCAGGCUAGAGUCUUGUAGAGGGGGUAGAAUUUCAGGUGUAGCGGUGAAAAUGCGUAGAGAUCUGAAGGAAUACCAGUGGCGAAGGCGGCCCCCUGGACAAAGACUGACGCUCAGAUGCGAAAAGCGUGGGGAGCAAACAGGAUUAGAUACCCUGGUAG
rnacentral:rRNA from 1 species